rnacentral:sRNA from 1 species
GGAUUUGAAGCAGACCAGUGACUUAUUUCAAUGUACAGUUCAAGUAAAGCUGUUUGGACAAAAGAGUAUAAUGUAUUAAAACUUAUGCACCAAUAAAUACCUCAAACAAUGAAUUAUUUUAAAACGCAUUUAAAUUUUAGUUUGAUUUUUACUUUUAAUUUAAAACAUUAUUUAAUUUUAAUUUUUGAAAUUUGAGUAUGGGGGACUUUAGCAAAGGAUAUAAUUAAGGACUGAAAAAUGAAAUGAGGGUUACUUGGUACCACACUGAGAAAUUUACAGAGAAUCAAUAUAAUAGUCCUAUAUGUUGAACAGGGUAAAAGGCAAUAAACAGGUAAAAAGUAAGAAAGAAAGCAUCGUUUAUUUUAACUAUUAGUUUCCAGGAAUUAGGGCCAGAGGAAAGAAUAUAUAGUGAUAUUACACCAGAUGGAGGAGGAUAGCGUAAGUGACAGGUUGAAUAGGCUUCUCAUCAGGAAUCUACUUGGCUUAGACUAGAAACAUACCUUUUUAAGUUACUUUCUAAUUACCAAGUUACUGGAAACCUAAAAUCCAAGCCUAUAUCAAAUUGCAUGUUAGGUCCAAGUGAAGCAAUAAAUACAUUUUUUUCACUCAUAAUGGCUAUUAAUGAUUCUUCCUUUAUGGACAAUUCUUUUCAAAUAUAUUCUUUUGCAUGAUCAAGUAUGAAAACAAUGAAGUAAAACUAUUUGGUACAAUCUGCAUACAAAAUAAGACAAUCAUGUGACUGUGAUUUUUCGAAGAAUCAUUUCUUUCCUAUCCUGUGCAGCACAGUUCAAACAUAAACUUAGGUGCAUGUUGGGAAGAAACAUAUGGCAUGUGUAGGGUUGACUUAACCUAAGCCAUCAUCUCAGAAGAAAAGCAACUUAUCAGUGUUACUCAAUUUAGAAGGGUCAUAAUUUUCUACUUCUGCUGUGACCAAACACUGAUAACAACAAAUGAUGCAAGACAGGUUACUCUGUGUGAUAGACUUGCAGUUACCAGUUAACUUCAGAGAAAUAUCAGGGCCCAAAAUGAAGCAGUGCAGGAAACUAGAGGCAAGAACGGAAAUAGAAGCUGAGGAGUUCUGCCUCUUGCCUUGGACCUCAUAUCUUUAUUUUUCUGAUUAAUAGCUCAGGGGUGAUACCAUCCUGGAGAUCUGGGCCCUAUGAAUUCCAAGGUUAAUCAGGACAAUAUAUUUUAGACUUCCCUAUACAACAGGUCAAUCUGAUGGAGGAAUUUUCUCAAUUAAGAUUCCCUCUUCUCACCAACUUCUUCUCUCAGUCACCUCUCUAUUGCCUCGAUAAAAUAUCAGGAGAUAAAACACCAACUAAAGCCUGAACGUGGGGGAACCCCAUGUUCAAGCUGGAUAUGUAGCAGAAGUUUGCCUUAUUGGGCAUCCCUGGGAGGGGAGCCCCUUAGUCCUUGAUGACCCAGGGUACAGAAAUGCUUGGGUGUUGAUGCAGGAGUGGGUGGACAAGUGAGGGAGCACAGUCAUAGAGAGAGGGAUAGAGAUACAGAGUUUGUGGAGGGGAAAAUAGGGGGAUAAUGUAUGAAAUGUAAUUAAAUAAAAAACAAUAAAAAGGAAAACAUCAUGAACAGGGAAACUAUUUCAAGUAAGUGUUUAUUUGGGACUUAGAAAUGCAGAGGGAUUAUAGUCCUUUACUGGCAUCACAGAGGAGCAUGGCUUCGGAAAGGAAGGACAACAAAAUGAGAAGUAAGUCCUGGCUCUUAACUUUGGAAGCAAACAUGAAGCAGAGACAUUGAAAAUAGGCACCUAUAUUUUGUGACUCCAAACUCUAAGCAGUGACAUACUUUCACAAGGAGGGCCAAGGACUUAUAGCAGCAGAAAUUUGUCACGAAGUUUGGAUUGCCAUGCCUGGAACUAGAAUGGCAUCCCAUUCAAACCAUCACAGCAAAACAAUGCCCGCAAAGAAAUUCAACAAACAUCAGUAAUUAAAUUGAUUCAUUCACAGUUUUUGUCAGCAUAUCACUUUUCAAAUUUUGUUCUCAAUUCCUUGCGAUCUAUUUGAUAUUUUAACAUUUUUCAUAAUCAAGACUUAGAGUCUAUUUCAGACACUUCAUUUUAUCGGUACCUAUCUGUUUGUGGUAACUGUUAUUUUUCUCAUAUUUUUGGACCUCACUUUAAUUUCUCUUUUGUAACCCAUGUGAAAUGACAAUCUUGUUUUUGCCUCAUGAUAUUACAGAUGUCUAUUAUACAAAUUAUGAUUGACAACUAUCUGCUAAUAUUUGGAAAUUAUCCAACAUAUGGUAAACACAUUGACAAAAGGUCUGAUGGAUUAAAGACCUCUACAGAUUCCAUAAAGUUUGCCGACAAAUCACCUAUUAUUGAAGAAUUCAUAGUUGGAAUCAAUGGGAAAUCCUGUGAUAAUGAUGAAAAUUUCAAUAUUUCAUAUGCUGCUCUGAAAAAGGAAGGUCCUACAGAUUCAGAGAAACAACAAGGCAGUAGUGUAUGUGCAAGCCCACCAGGACCGCCCAUAAAUCCACCACAAACAACAAAGAAAUGCUUGUUUGGCAAAACUCUUAGGAGUAUUUUUGAAGACAAAAAGGUGUCUGGUCUAAUAUUUGUGAGUAUCAUUUUGGGUUUCUACAUCA